rnacentral:rRNA from 1 species
GACGAACGCUGGCGGCGUGCUUAACACAUGCAAGUCGAACGAUGAACCCGGAGCUUGCUCCGGUGGAUUAGUGGCGAACGGGUGAGUAACACGUGAGUAACCUGCCCUUGACUCUGGGAUAACUGCGGGAAACUGUAGCUAAUACCGGAUACGACCCUCGGCGGCAUCGCCAGGGGGUGGAAAGAAUUUCGGUCAAGGAUGGACUCGCGGCCUAUCAGCUAGUUGGUGAGGUAACGGCUCACCAAGGCGACGACGGGUAGGCGGCCUGAGAGGGGGACCGGCCACCCUGGGACUGAGACACGGCCCAGACUCCUACGGGAGGCAGCAGUGGGGAAUAUUGCACAAUGGGCGGAGGCCUGAUCCAGCAACGCCGCGUGAGGGAUGACGGCCUUCGGGUUGUAAACCUCUUUCAGCAGGGACGAAGCGCAAGUGACGGUACCUGCAGAAGAAGCACCGGCCAACUACGUGCCAGCAGCCGCCGUAA